rnacentral:rRNA from 1 species
UACGUAGGGGGCCAGCGUUGCUCGGAAUUACUGGGCGUAAAGGGUUCGUAGGUGGUGCGGUAAGUUGGGAGUGAAAUCUCUGGGCUUAACUCAGGGGCUGCUUUCAAAACUGCCGUGCUCGAGUGCGAGAGAGGCCAGUGGAAUUGCAGGUGUAGCGGUGAAAUGCGUAGAUAUCUGCAGGAACACCCGUGGCGAAGGCGGCUGGCUGGAUCGCAACUGACACUGAGGAACGAAAGCGAGGGGAGCAAACAGG